GAUGAAGAACGCAGCGAAAUGCGAUAAGUAAUGUGAAUUGCAGAAUUCAGUGAGUCAUCGAAUCUUUGAACGCACAUUGCGCCCGCCAGUAUUCUGGCGGGCAUGCCUGUCUGAGCGUCAUUUCAACCCUCAUGCCCCUAGGGCGUGGUGUUGGGGAUCGGCCAAAGCCCGCGAGGGACGGCCGGCCCCUAAAUCUAGUGGCGGACCCGUCGUGGCCUCCUCUGCGAAGUAGUGAUAUUCCGCAUCGGAGAGCGAUGAGCCCCUGCCGUUAAACCCCCAACUUUCCAAGGUUGACCUCAGAUCUGGUAGGAAUACCCGCUGAACUUAAGCAUAUCAAUAAGCGGAGG
rnacentral:misc_RNA from 1 species